rnacentral:rRNA from 1 species
UACGUAGGCAGCAAGCGUUGUCCGGAGUUACUGGGCGUAAAGAGUGCGUAGGCGGUGUCGAAAGUUUGGCGUGAAAUCUCCCGCUUAACUGGGAGGGUGCGCCGAAAACUGCGGUGCUGGAGUGUGGGAAAGGCAAGCGGAAUUCCUGGUGUAGCGGUGAAAUGCGUAGAUAUCAGGAGGAACACCGGCGGUGUAGACGGCUUGCUAGACCAUAACUGACGCUGAGGCACGAAAGCGUGGGUAGCAAACAGG